AUCCUAUGUUGGGGACACUUUCUCAAUAGUUCCUUGUACCGUUCCCAUGCUUCAUACAAGGUUUCAGACUCCAUCUGUUGUAAAGAAGAUUUAUCAUUUAUGAGCUU